GGACGUGAGGGCGAUCUGGCUGUCACCCCAUUGAUCCCCAGGAUUGAUUCGGCUGGUCUGCCUGGCUAGGAGGGUGUCCCCUUCCUCCCUCACCGCUCCAUGUGCGUCCCUCCGAAGCUGCGCACUCGCUCAAAGAGGACGAUCUUCCCUGACAGAGACGUACUGCUCAUUGGUCAAGGGUAUAUGGUAGCUGCGCUCCCCCGCUAGAACCUCCAAACAAGCUCAAGGUCCAUUUGUAGGAGAACGUAGGGUAGUCAAGCUGCCAAGACUGCAGACACAUCCAAGUGAGGCACUGCAUGGUUUUUCAAU
rnacentral:snRNA from 1 species